rnacentral:lncRNA from 1 species
UGAUCUCUGAGAAGUGAGUAGCUGGAGGCACCAGGAUACCAGCCAAGCCUAAAGGAUAAAGCAAAUCCCUGGACAUGGCUUUUGAUUCCAAGCUAAGAAGUGCAAGAAGCUCUUCCAAAUACAACUGCAACUGCCAAGAGAUUGAUGGACCAGAGAAUGGCCUCUUCAUUCCAGGCACUUCUAAAGUCCAAGUGGUCAAAUACCAGCCUCUUUUUACCAAUGUUCCCACCUGUUUCAUUCAGCCAAAUUUCAUUAGAUGAAGGAAGGUGGUGCAUUCUUGAGAUUGAGAAUACAGAUGAGAAGCAGGUUUGAAUGGUGAAGAAAUGAUGGACGCUGUUUGUCUCAAACAAGGACUCUAAUGAUACAACAGAACAAGUCACAAGAAAGCUUGCCUGGAAAACCAUACACUGGCCUCUUCGUGGUGAAGUCCUUCACAAUCCUUACAAACAUAGAAAAUAUUCAGCAAUUCGUUUGUUUGUUUUCCAGUCCACUCUUACUUGAGAAAAAUGCAAAACAUCAAAGACACAGAAAAACCACCAGUCUAUACAGCUUGCCCAUACUAAAUUGUUAUUCAUUUCAGAAGAGUGUACAGUUUCUUUCUGUAAGACUCUAUUAAACCAGUUACUCUACAAUAGCAAACAUUUUAGGCAAACCUAACCAUUGCUUCCCAUAAAGAUAUUUAUAUCUUUAAGUGGUAUCUGAUUCAUCCCUAAGAAAU